UUCCCCUCACCAUGAGAGCAUCCCUCUCACUCUCUUCUCCCCUAAUCUUUGAUGAAUUCAACUCUCUUUCUCCUUUCUCCUCUCACUAGAUUGGAUCUUGAUGCAGGUGCAUGUUGGUCCAAUCAUGGAGGAGGUUGAGCUAUCCUCAGAUCUGAAGUUCUUGAGCAAAAUCCAAAUCGAGUGAUUCAAAGUUCUACAGAUAGGUAUUGAAAAGAUCUACAACGUGGCGUUGGUCUCAUCCUCAAAUUCGUUACGGAUUUUGCAUGAACAAAAUCUGGUCAGAUCUGACUUUGUCGAAUUAAACCAGGAGCUUGGAGACGAAUUUUUGAAUGAAACCAACUGGGUAAG